CUCCAAUAGCGUAUAUUAAAAUUGUUGCAGUUAAAAAGCUCGUAGUUGAAUUUCUGCUACAUUGCCUAUUCUCCUUUACGAGUUUGGGUCUUUUGUGGCUUAUCUGGGUUCGCUUGCGUUCCCGGUGUUUUACUUUGAGAAAAUUAGAGUGCUCAAAGCAGGCUUUUGCCUUGAAUAGUUUAGCAUGGAAUAAUAAAGUAGGACUUUGGUUCUAUUUUGUUGGUUUUAGGUACCAAAGUAAUGGUUAAUAGGAACAGUUGGGGGCAUUCGUAUUUAACUGUCAGAGGUGAAAUUCUUAGAUUUGUUAAAGACGAACUACUGCGAAAGCAUUUGCCAAGGAUGUUUUCAUUAAUCAAGAACGAAAGUUAGGGGAUCGAAGACGAUCAGAUACCGUCGUAGUCCUAACCAUAAACUAUGCCGACUAGAGAUUGGAGGUCGUCAGUUUUUACGACUCCUUCAGCACCUUGAGAGAAAUCAAAGUCUUUGGGUUCUGGGGGGAGUAUG
rnacentral:rRNA from 1 species